rnacentral:rRNA from 1 species
AAGUCGUAACAAGGUCUCCGUUGGUGAACCAGCGGAGGGAUCAUUACCGAGUUUACAACUCCCAAACCCAUGUGAAUCUUACCUUUACGUUGCUUCGGCCAGACUGCCCCGGGCGCCUUUGGUGCCCCGGACUCAGGCGCUGGCCGGGGAACCUAAACUCUUGUUUUAUUAGUAUUUUCUCUGAGUGGAUUACACAAAUAAUCAAAACUUUCAACAACGGAUCUCUUGGUUCUGGCAUCGAUGAAGAACGCAGCGAAAUGCGAAAAGUAAUGUGAAUUGCAGAAUUCAGUGAAUCAUCGAAUCUUUGAACGCACAUUGCGCCCACCAGUAUUCUGGUGGGCAUGCCUGUCUGAGCGUCAUUUCAACCCUCACACCCCUAUGGGCGUGGUGUUGGGGAUCGACCGUUCGCCCUCUCGGGGGUGGGUCGUCCCCUAAAUCUAGUGGCGGACUCGUUGUAGCCUCCUCUGCGUAGUAGUAAUAUUUCGCACCGGAAAGCGACGAGCCCCUGCCGUAAAACCCCAACUUCACAAGGUUGACCUCAGAUCAGGUAGGAAUACCCGCUGAACUUAA